AUUGAACGCUGGCGGCAGGCCUAACACAUGCAAGUCGAGCGGAUGAAGGGAGCUUGCUCCUGGAUUCAGCGGCGGACGGGUGAGUAAUGCCUAGGAAUCUGCCUGGCAGUGGGGGAUAACGUCCGGAAACGGGCGCUAAUACCGCAUACGUCCUGAGGGAGAAAGUGGGGGAUCUUCGGACCUUACGCUAUCAGAUGAGCCUAGGUCGGAUUAGCUAGUUGGUGGGGUAAAGGCCUACCAAGGCGACGAUCCGUAACUGGUCUGAGAGGAUGAUCAGUCACACUGGAACUGAGACACGGUCCAGACUCCUACGGGAGGCAGCAGUGGGGAAUAUUGGACAAUGGGCGAAAGCCUGAUCCAGCCAUGCCGCGUGUGUGAAGAAGGUCUUCGGGUUGUAAAGCACUUUAAGUUGGGAGGAAGGGCAGUAAGUUAAUACCUUGCUGUUUUGACGUUACCAACAGAAUAAGCACCGGCUAACUUCGUG
rnacentral:rRNA from 1 species